rnacentral:misc_RNA from 1 species
UACGGAGGGGGCUAGCGUUAUUCGGAAUCACUGGGCUUACAGGGUGCGUAGGCGGCCGACCAGGUCAGGUGUGAAAUCCCACGGCUCAACCGUGGAACUGCGCUUGAAACCGGAUGGCUUGAGUGAGCUAGGGGUGCACGGAACUUCCAGUGGAGCGGUGAAAUGUGUUGAUAUUGGAAGGAACACCAGAAGCGAAAGCGGUGCACUGGGGCUUGUCUGACGCUGAGGCACGAAAGCCAGGGUAGCGAACGGG